UACGUAGGGUGCGAGCGUUAAUCGGAAUUACUGGGCGUAAAGCGUGCGCAGGCGGUUAUGUAAGACAGGUGUGAAAUCCCCGGGCUUAACCUGGGAACUGCAUUUGUGACUGCAUAGCUAGAGUACGGUAGAGGGGGAUGGAAUUCCGCGUGUAGCAGUGAAAUGCGUAGAUAUGCGGAGGAACACCGAUGGCGAAGGCAAUCCCCUGGACCUGUACUGACGCUCAUGCACGAAAGGCGUGGGGAGCAAACGAGG
rnacentral:rRNA from 1 species